rnacentral:tRNA from 1 species
GGGAAUGUGGCUUAGUGGUAGAGUACUUGCCUAGCAUGCAUGAAGCCCUGGGUUCCAUUCCUU